AUUGAACGCUGGCGGUAUGCUUAACACAUGCAAGUCGAACGGUAGCAGGCCUUCGGGCGCUGACGAGUGGCGGACGGGUGAGUAACGCGUAGGAAUCUGCCUCAUAGUGGGGGACAACGUGUGGAAACGCACGCUAAUACCGCAUACGCCCUACGGGGGAAAGCGGGGGACCUUCGGGCCUCGCGCUAUGAGAUGAGCCUGCGUUAGAUUAGCUAGUUGGUAGGGUAAAGGCCUACCAAGGCGACAAUCUAUAGCUGGGCUGAGAGGACGAUCAGCCACACUGGGACUGAGACACGGCCCAGACUCCUACGGGAGGCAGCAGUGGGGAAUAUUGGACAAUGGGCGCAAGCCUGAUCCAGCAAUACCGCGUGUGUGAAGAAGGCCCUAGGGUUGUAAAGCACUUUCAAUAGGGAGGAAAACCUGUCGGUCAAUACCCGGCAGCUUGACAUUACCUAUACAAGAAGCACCGGCUAACUCCGUGCCAGCCGCCGCAGUAAGAC
rnacentral:rRNA from 1 species